GGCCCUGAGCCGAGUCGAGUCGAGUCGAGUGGGCGGUGGGGGAGGGGCCGCGCAGCGCAGCGCCUGGGCCCGUCGCUGCGCCUCAAAGGGGCUUUUCCAGCGCGUAUUUGGCAGCAAUCAUUUCUUUUCCUCAUUAAGAAGAUUCUGAAGCUUUCCACCCAUCAGUGGCAUUUGAGUUGCCUCCUGUAUUAUUGCCGUUGACUUCACCAUUUCCUUCAUAGGCAAGAGUAAAUGUUAAGAAGCACAGAAGAUGAAAAUAGCCUGUGCUGGUUCUG